CUCGAGUGGCGAACGGGUGAGUAACACGUGAGUAACCUGCCCUUGACUUUGGGAUAACUUCAGGAAACUGGGGCUAAUACCGGAUAGGAGCUCCUGCUGCAUGGUGGGGGUUGGAAAGUUUCGGCGGUUGGGGAUGGACUCGCGGCUUAUCAGCUUGUUGGUGGGGUAGUGGCUUACCAAGGCUUUGACGGGUAGCCGGCCUGAGAGGGUGACCGGCCACAUUGGGACUGAGAUACGGCCCAGACUCCUACGGGAGGCAGCAGUGGGGAAUAUUGCACAAUGGGCGGAAGCCUGAUGCAGCAACGCCGCGUGCGGGAUGACGGCCUUCGGGUUGUAAACCGCUUUCGCCUGUGACGAAGCGUGAGUGACGGUAAUGGGUAAAGAAGCACCGGCUAACUACGUGCCAGCAGCCGCGGUGAUACGUAGGGUGCGAGCGUUGUCCGGAUUUAUUGGGCGUAAAGGGCUCGUAGGUGGUUGAUCGCGUCGGAAGUGUAAUCUUGGGGCUUAACCCUGAGCGUGCUCGAUACGGGUUGACUUGAGGAAGGUAGGGGAGAAUGGAAUUCCUGGUGGAGCGGUGGAAUGCGCAGAUAUCAGGAGGAACACCAGUGGCGAAGGCGGUUCUCUGGGCCUUUCCUGACGCUGAGGAGCGAAAGCGUGGGGAGCGAACAGGCUUAGAUACCCUGGUAGUCCACGCUGUAAACGGUGGGUACUAGGUGUGGGGUCCAUUCCACGGGUUCCGUGCCGUAGCUAACGCUUUAAGUACCCCGCCUGGGGAGUACGGCCGCAAGGCUAAAACUCAAAGGAAUUGACGGGGCCCCGCACAAGCGGCGGAGCAUGCGGAUUAAUUCGAUGCAACGCGUAGAACCUUACCUGGGUUUGACAUGGAUCGGGAGCGCUCAGAGAUGGGUGUGCCUCUUUUGGGGUCGGUUCACAGGUGGUGCAUGGCUGUCGUCAGCUCGUGUCGUGAGAUGUUGGGUUAAGUCCCGCAACGAGCGCAACCCUUGUUCACUGUUGCCAGCACGUUAUGGUGGGGACUCAGUGGAGACCGCCGGGGUCAACUCGGAGGAAGGUGGGGAUGACGUCAAGUCAUCAUGCCCCUUAUGUCCAGGGCUUCACGCAUGCUACAAUGGCUGGUACAGAGAGUGGCGAGCCUGUGAGGGUGAGCGAAUCUCGGAAAGCCGGUCUCAGUUCGGAUUGGGGUCUGCAACUCGACCU
rnacentral:rRNA from 1 species